rnacentral:rRNA from 1 species
AUUGAACGCUGGCGGCAGGCUUAACACAUGCAAGUCGAACGGUAGCAGGGAAGUGCUUGCACUUUUGCUGACGAGUGGCGGACGGGUGAGUAAUGCUUGGGAAUCUGGCUUAUGGAGGGGGAUAACGACGGGAAACUGUCGCUAAUACCGCGUAGAAUCGGGAGAUGAAAGUGUGGGACCGUAAGGCCACAUGCCAUAAGAUGAGCCCAAGUGGGAUUAGGUAGUUGGUGGGGUAAAGGCCUACCAAGCCUGCGAUCUCUAGCUGGUCUGAGAGGAUGGCCAGCCACACUGGAACUGAGACACGGUCCAGACUCCUACGGGAGGCAGCAGUGGGGAAUAUUGCGCAAUGGGGGGAACCCUGACGCAGCCAUGCCGCGUGAAUGAAGAAGGCCUUCGGGUUGUAAAGUUCUUUCGGUGGUGAGGAAGGUGGUGGAUUUAAUAGAUUCACUAAUUGACGUUAAUCACAGAAGAAGCACCGGCUAACUCCGU